GAAAAGCUUUCUUACCUGCAGCAUACCGGAGAUCAACACUGGCCCUCUAUCCAAGCCUGGAGCCAAGACAGCUGUCACCCACUUUUUUGACACUGCCUGGCCACUUCCGGUGCCGCUGGGAGGAAGAGGCGGGUCCUAGAUGGAUGGCGCUUGUGCAGUCAGUCUGGUGGAUAUAGAGCCGACGGUGGCAGCAUGUUGUCGGCUGCUAGAGUUGUCGGCUUCCGGCGGCGUUUUCGGCAGCGGUACUGGCCUGGAGAGUGCGGGAACGAAGACAUUUUCAUGGAUAUGAAACUGGAUGCAGUUGAAGUUCAUCUGCUGGGUAAUCUUCCAUUUCUGGGGACUGCUUGACUUCCUGCUAAACACAGCUGGGACUUCUUCCUGGAGAGGAGCAACUGCUCCAUGCCAAUGUGUGUCCUGUGGCCAGUGAGGAGUGCGCCUGUGCCUGGCGCUUUGACCCAGAAGUGCACCCGCAGGCGCCGCCACUUCUGCCCUCGAUGCACUGGUGGGAGUCAGCGCCGUGUCCGCUCCUGCCCAGAGCCUUGAGGAGCCGCCUUCAACGCUGGUGGCUGAACCUGAGGAGACCCAGGGCCCUGCAGACUCAGGCUGGGAUCAGACUGCACACACAGAGGAGAAAGCAGAAGCUUAGAGAAAUGCCAAGAAUCCCUCAGUGCCCUGUUCCAGCCUGCCCCAAGAUUCUGACACCUCACAACUGCAUACAUGGAGGAGAAAGCAGAAGCUUAGAGAAAUGCCAAGAAUCCCCCUGUGCUCAGCCUGUCCAAAAUUCUGACACCUCAGAGCUGCACACACGAAGGAGAAAGCAGAAGCUUAGAGAAAUGCCAAGAAUCCCUCUGUGCUGUGUUCCAGGCUGUCCCAAGAUUCUGACACCUCAUAACUUCAGAGGAGGUCCCAGCACCUGGGCAGCAUGA
rnacentral:lncRNA from 1 species